AAUUUUUACUUAGAAAAUAAUAUAUUAAAAAUUGUGUCAUGUUUAAUAUUGAGUACCAUGAACAAAAUAUACUCUGAAAAGUAUUUUUAUAUUUCAUUAUAUUUUAAGAUAGAGGGUACAUAAUAUAUAUCAGUGACAUAGCACUAGCUGGUGUAUUACAAAAAAGUAACAGGUAUACAAAACAAAAUCAAAUAAAAUCAGAAAAGUAAAACAGAUAGAUCACCCAAACAAGUUAUAACCCCACUCAGGAACCUAUGAUCUAGCUCCAGGUAUUUUCUGCUCAUGAUUUGGAUAUUGUAUUUUUCGACAUUGUCACGAAGGCGCUAGAAAAGUCAUUUUAUUAUUUAAUGGAGAAUGAAGGAAUAUCAGACUAUAAAGGACUUUUAGUUCUCCAAGUCUGGGUUACAAAUACUUAUACACUAUGUAAUAAUUUCCCAUCAUCUUUGGUUCAUCCCUCGUUGUUCGGGUUGGUAACAUUGAUAUUUCUCCAUUCUGAUGGCCUGUUGCCUGUCGCAAUCAUUUUGCUAAUCUUUUUAUCAGGAAAUGUCCAUUGAUAUGACAAGCCGGGCUCCUUGUUGUGCUACAUGCUUUGUGGGGAAUCCUUGCUUUCAGUCAGACACCAGUCGUGAGGGUUAAAACAGGUCAGAUUCCAUAUGUCUGUCACGUCUGCAUGUUUGUAUUUCUCCUUAUACUAAAAGUGAAUUAGCUUUUAAUAUAGUUGUCUCCUAUUGCACUGCCUAAAAUUCAGCUCUUUGCCAAUUGCCAGAUAGAAAGAAGCUAGAUUCCAUCGAUCUCCUUGUCAGUCUCUAAGAGGGGGAUCUCCAUAUUUAAGUUCGUUUUCCGUUGGUCAAAAGUGAUCCAGUCUGAUUUUAGGGUGCUAUUUACUAACCCAAGAGACAAGGACGUGUUCUCCCUGGGCCCGCUUGAUAUCAACAGGCACACGUCCCGUGAGGAGUUCGAGAAGAACCACACCAUAGCUGUAAACAUCUGACUUUGUGGUUCUUUAUUUAACGUUGUAAGUUAAUUACUGGGAUUGGGUGGAGAAUGAAGAUAA